rnacentral:piRNA from 1 species
UGCCAGGUGUCCCUACCUCUGACCCACUGU